CUCCGGUUGAUCCCGCCGGACCCGACUGCUAUCAGAGUGAGAUUAAGCCAUGCGAGUUAACGUAGCAAUACGUGGCGCACGGCUCAGUAACACGUAGUCAACAUGCCCAGAGGACGUGGAUAACCUCGGGAAACUGAGUCUAAACCGCGAUAAGUGAGGAUUUCUGGAAUGGUUCCUGACUAAAAUCUAUAUGGCCUCUGGAUUGGACUGCGGCCGAUCAGGCUGUUGGUGAGGUAAUGGCCCACCAAACCUGUAACCGGUACGGGCUCUGAGAGGAGGAGCCCGGAGAUGGGCACUGAGACAAGGGCCCAGGCCCUAUGGGGCGCAGCAGGCGCGAAACCUCUGCAAUAGGCGAAAGCUUGACAGGGUUACUCUGAGUGAUUUCCGUUAAGGAGAUCUUUUGGCACCUCUAAAAAUGGUGCAGAAUAAGGGGUGGGCAAGUCUGGUGUCAGCCGCCGCGGUAAUACCAGCACCCCGAGUGGUCGGGACGUUUAUUGGGCCUAAAGCAUCCGUAGCCGGUUCUACAAGUCUUCCGUUAAAUCCACCUGCUCAACAGAUGGGCUGCGGAGGAUACUACAGGGCUAGGAGGCGGGAGAGGCAAGCGGUACUCAGUGGGUAGGGGUAAAAUCCUCUGAUCCACUGAAGACCACCAGUGGCGAAGGCGGCUUGCCAGAACGCGCUCGACGGUGAGGGAUGAAAGCUGGGGGAGCAAACCGGAUUAGAUACCCGGGUAGUCUCAGCUGUAAACGAUGCAGACUCGGUGAUGGGUUGGCUUCGAGCCAACCCAGUGCCGCAGGGAAGCCGUUAAGUCUGCCGCCUGGGGAGUACGGUCGCAAGACUGAAACUUAAAGGAAUUGGCGGGGGAGCA
rnacentral:rRNA from 1 species